CCUACGGGAGGCAGCAGUGAGGAAUUUUCGGCAAUGGGCGAAAGCCUGACCGAGCAACGCCGCGUGCAGGAUGAAGGUCUACGGAUCGUAAACUGCUUUUGUGAGGGAUGAGAACGGACAGUACCUCACGAAUAAGUCCCGGCUAACUACGUGCCAGCAGCCGCGGUAAU
rnacentral:rRNA from 1 species